AUGAAGUCUCCCAGUAGUUCAGCUGCCAUUACCGCCGCCUUCUGUCCUCCGGCCAGUCAGUCUACCUGCAGCAUAAGCAGCCUGAACCUCUACAGCACAUCGGUCACUGGCUCCCACAAAAUCAAGUUCCAGCAGAGUGAGGUGACCUGAUUCCUGGAUGAAAAGCGCAUCCAGUACGAGCCAGUGGACAUCUCCCAGGACAACGCCCUGAGGGAUGAGAUGCAAGUCUUGGUGGGCAACCCCAAGGCUGCCCCACACCAGAUUGUCAAUGGGGACAGGUACUGUGGGGACUUUGAGCUCUUCACGGAGGCUGUGGAACAAAACACAAUGCAGGAGUUCCUGAAACUGGCCUGAGUCAAGCUGGCCCACAGUUCCCCUGCUGGUGUCCAUCACCACACUCUUCCUCCAGCCCUCACCUGGCCAUGAAGGACCUUGUGACCAAAACUCCCUGUCAUUCCUAACCUGACCUUAGAGUCCCUUCCCACAAUGCAAACCACUUCUCCCCCUUUCUAAAUGUAGUCUCCUCUUCUCCAUUCAAAGGCAGUAUUCCUUACCCACUAGUCUCAGAAAUUGUCUUAAGCAAUAGCCCCAAAUGCUGGCUGUCCCCAGCCAAUCACUGGGGCUGCCAUCCUGCCUGGCACUGGUUGAUGGGCACCUCUGUUGGUUCCAUCAGCCAGAGCUUUUCCAAAGGCCCCUGCAAUCCGUCUCCCAAGAGGACCCUAAAGACAAUUAAAUGUCCUGUCCCACUGGCAAAAAA